AUGUCAUUUUUAGUGCAGGAGGUUUUUGUUCAGCUGCUGAUUGAGUUUGUAUCACUGUGGCGCACGUUCGGUGGAGGCACCCGACUCUCAGUUGGAACUGCGUCUCGUCCCGCUCUGACGGUGCUGCCUCCCUCCAGAGACGAGCUGCAGCAGGGGAAGGCUACAGUGCUGUGUGUGGCCAGUAAGGGAUUCCCCUCUGACUGGAAGCUGAGCUGGAAGGUGGACGGCAGCAGCAGGAGCUCUGGUGUCAAUCUGAGUCCCAGUCAGCUGCAGAAGGAUGGACUGUACAGCUGGAGCAGCAGCCUGAGCCUCACUGAGAGUGAGUGGAGCAGUGCAACAACCGUCAGCUGUGACGCCACGCACCCGUCCCACAGUGCAGUCACCAAGAGCUUCGACACACAGCAGUGUAAUGAAUAAAUUACACACACAUGCUGAUAUAUUGCUCAUAUUUUCUUAUCCUUUUUAAUUCUACAGCUGCAAUGCUAUAAAUGUUUUGUUGAAAAAAUUUUCUUGCUGCCAAAUAAAAGCAUUUUGUCGUAAA